rnacentral:rRNA from 1 species
AAUCAACGCUGGCGGCGCGCUUAACACAUGCAAGUCGCACGAGAAAGUGGAGCAAUCCAUGAGUAAAGUGGCGUACGGGUGAGUAACACGUGGAUCAUCUACCCUUUAGUGGGGAAUAACCCUGGGAAACCGGGGCUAAUACCGCAUAAUCCUGGGAAGGGAAAGCAGCAAUGCGCUGAAGGAGGAGUCCGCGGCCGAUUAGCUAGUUGGUAGGGUAACGGCCUACCAAGGCGAUGAUCGGUAGCCGGCCUGAGAGGGCACACGGCCACACUGGCACUGAAACACGGGCCAGACUCCUACGGGAGGCAGCAGUGGGGAAUCUUGCACAAUGGAGGAAACUCUGAUGCAGCGACGCCGCGUGAGCGAUGAAGCCCUUCGGGGUGUAAAGCUCUUUCGGCAGGGACGAUAAUGACGGUACCUGAAGAAGAAGCUGCGGCUAACUACGUGCCAGCAGCCGCGGUAAUACGUAGGCAGCGAGCGUUGUUCGGAAUUACUGGGCGUAAAGAGUGUGUAGGCGGUUUUCCAAGUUUGGUGUGAAAUCUCCCGGCUUAACUGGGAGGGUGCGCCGAAAACUGGGAGGCUUGAGUGCCGGAGAGGAUAGCGGAAUUCCUGGUGUAGCGGUGAAAUGCGUAGAUAUCAGGAGGAACACCUGCGGUGUAGACGGCUAUCUGGACGGCCACUGACGCUGAGACACGAAAGCGUGGGUAGCAAACAGGAUUAGAUACCCUGGUAGUCCACGCCCUAAACGAUGCAUACUUGGUGUGAGCCAUUCAUUUGGUUCGUGCCGGAGCUAACGCGUUAAGUAUGCCGCCUGGGGAGUACGGUCGCAAGGCUG